UUGGAGCUCUGAUUUGGGACAGGGGUCCCCGGACUCCCGGGCCCUCAAUAAAGCACCGCACAAAACUUACGGGUUUUGUGUCUUUGUUCGGGCAACAGUUUUUCUGGCGACCGCGGCAGGACUCCGAGGGUGGCUGGGGCGGUUCACGUCCCGAUUUGCUCCAAAGCCGGCGCCGAGCACUUCUCGGGGAGACAUCGGUUCGUGCCCUACCCCCGCGCCUGUCGGACAACUGCAUAAGGAAUACCUUGUAGUGGAAUAGGCCACUCACGCUGGAGAAUCCUGUUCACGACAUACAUCCUGGGGAUCAAGUGUACGUCAAAAAUUGGAUGACAGAUCCACUACGGGAAUCAUGGGGUAGACCUUACCAGGUAAUGAUGACGACCUACACAGCAGUGAAGGUAGCGGGGACGGACGCUUGGAUCCAUUACACCCGAGUGAAGAAGGCUCCGCAGCAGUGGGAGACUCAGAUGAUAACCCCCACUCGAAUGAUUUUCCGCGCAAAGCUGCCUUCUUAAUCAUUCUGUUGUUAGUUUUAAUGAAAAUAAUUCCUGUACAUGGGUUUAUCAGGGUGGAAACAGAAAACAAACGGGUUACAAGGGUAAUGGGAAUGGAUAUUCAACUAAUUUGUGCAUUGUAUGAUGACCAGGGAGCUGGAGUCGAGGAGAUCCAGGUAGAAUGGCAGCGAGGAGCUGAGAAGAGCCAGGGAGAAGUGAGUCUGGAUUGGGAUCAAGAUGCUCAACAAGGAACUACAAUGCUGAGACUAACUAAGCCAUCAUUUGGAGUGUGUAUAGAUGUCUUAUAGGAGUCAUCAAGAAGGAAAAGAAACAAUCCCUUCGGUUGAUGAAAGCAAUGACUCGAGGAAGACAGGAGGAAGAAACCCAUGAAGAAACCCGUGCAGCUUCCCACAUUACUGAAUGAUUGAGCAUCCUUGCAGCAGGACUGAAGGAUGCUCAAAAGGGGGGAAAUGUUGGAAAUUAUUUAAAUGUAGAAAUUUUGUAAAGUAUAGUAUGUAGGAAUUAGUAGCCGUUUGAAGUGUGGUAUAACCUUUGGAGUGUGUA